AUGAACGCUAGCGGGAGGCCUAACACAUGCAAGCCGAGCGGUAGAAAGUAGCUUGCUACUUUUGAGAGCGGCGUACGGGUGCGUAACACGUGUGCAACCUGCCUUUAUCUGGAGAAUAGCCUUUCGAAGGGAAGAUUAAUGCUCCAUAACAUAUUGAAUGGCAUCAUUUAAUAUUGAAAGCUCCGGCGGAUAGAGAUGGGCACGCGCAAGAUUAGUUAGUUGGUGAGGUAACGGCUCACCAAGGCGAUGAUCGUUAGGGGGCCUGAGAGGGUGAUCCCCCACACUGGUACUGAGACACGGACCAGACUCCUACGGGAGGAAGCAGUGAGGAAUAUUGGACAAUGGGUGAAAGCCUGAUCCAGCCAUCCCGCGUGAAGGAUGACAGCCCUAUGGGUUGUAAACUUCUUUUGUAUAGGGAUAAACCUACCCUCGUGAGGGUAGCUGAAGGUACUAUACGAAUAAGCACCGGCUAACUCCGUGCCAGCCGCCGCCGUAACAC
rnacentral:rRNA from 1 species